rnacentral:rRNA from 1 species
UUUUAGCUAUAAAUUUACUUUUAAUAUACCAGAGUACUACGAAUAAAAAGUUUAAAACUCAAAGGGCUUGGCGGUGUUUUAGACCUCUCAGGGGAACCUGUCUCAUAAUCGACAGUCCACGUUAAACCUAACCCUUUAUAGUAAUUCAGCUUGUAUACCGUCGUCGUCAGGUAACUUCUUAAAAUAUAGUAGUUAGCUAGAAAAUUUUAUUGAUUAAAACGUCAGAUCAAGGUGCAGCCAAUGAAAGGGGGAGGAUGGGUUACAAUUAUAGAUUUAUAAUUACGGAAAGGGCUUAGAAAUAAAGCAACUAAAGGAGGACUUGAAAGUAAUUUUAAUUACAUAAAUAGGAUGAAUGCGGCUCUGAAACGUGC